rnacentral:rRNA from 1 species
GUGAGGAAUAUUGGACAAUGGGCGCAAGCCUGAUCCAGUCAUGCCGCGUGCAGGAAGACGCAUCUAUGGUGUGUAAACUGCUUUUGUACGGGAAGAAACACUCCCUCGUGAGGGAGCUUGACGGUACCGUAAGAAUAAGGAUCGGCUAACUCCGUGCCAGCAGCCGCGGUAAUACGGAGGAUCCAAGCGUUAUCCGGAAUCAUUGGGUUUAAAGGGUCCGUAGGCGGUUUAAUAAGUCAGUGGUGAAAGCCCAUCGCUCAACGAUGGAACGGCCAUUGAUACUGUUAGACUUGAAUUACAAGGAAGUAACUAGAAUAUGUAGUGUAGCGGUGAAAUGCUUAGAUAUUACAUGGAAUACCAAUUGCGAAGGCAGGUUACUACUUGUUGAUUGACGCUGAUGGACGAAAGCGUGGGGAGCGAACAGGAUUAGAAACCCUGGUAGUCC